AUCGCCUGUUUUAUCAAAAACAUGUCUUUUUGUAAUUUAUUUAAAGUCUAACCUGCCCACUGAGUUUUAAAGGGCCGCGGUAUUUUGACCGUGCGAAGGUAGCAUAAUCAAUAGUCUUUUAAUUGAAGGCUGGUAUGAAUGGUUGAAUGAGAUAUAUACUGUUUUUUUGAAAAUUUUAUAGAACUUUAUUUUUUAAUUAAAAAGUUAAAAUAUAAUUAAAAGACGAGAAGACCCUAUAGAUCUUUAUUUUUAUAAAUUAUAAUUUAUAAAGAAUUAUAAAAAUUAUAUUUUAAAUAAAAUUUUACUGGGGUGGUAUUAAAAUUAAAUUAACUUUUAUUAUUUUAUUACAUUAAUUUAUGAAUAAAAGAUCCUGUUAUAUGGAUUAAAAAUUUAAGUUACCUUAGGGAUAACAGCGUAAUUUUUUUAGAGAGUUCAUAUCGAUAAAAAAGAUUGCGACCUCGAUGUUGGAUUAAGAGUUAUUUUUAGGUGUAGAAGUUUAAAGUUUAGGUCUGUUCGACCUUUGAAUUCUUACAUGAUCUGAGUUCC
rnacentral:rRNA from 1 species